rnacentral:rRNA from 1 species
UGAGCUUGAUCCCUGGCUCAGAACGAACGCUGGCGGCAGGCUUAACACAUGCAAGUCGAACGCAUCGCAAGAUGAGUGGCAGACGGGUGAGUAACGCGUGGGAAUCUACCCAAUUCUUCGGAACAACUGAGGGAAACUUCAGCUAAUACCGGAUGUGCCCUUCGGGGGAAAGAUUUAUCGGAAUUGGAUGAGCCCGCGUUGGAUUAGCUAGUUGGUGGGGUAAAGGCCUACCAAGGCGACGAUCCAUAGCUGGUCUGAGAGGAUGAUCAGCCACACUGGGACUGAGACACGGCCCAGACUCCUACGGGAGGCAGCAGUGGGGAAUAUUGGACAAUGGGCGCAAGCCUGAUCCAGCCAUGCCGCGUGAGUGAUGAAGGUCUUAGGAUUGUAAAGCUCUUUCACCGGUGAAGAUAAUGACGGUAACCGGAGAAGAAGCCCCGGCUA